rnacentral:rRNA from 1 species
CCGGCAACUACGUGCCAGCAGCCGCGGUAAUACGUAGGGUGCGAGCGUUGUCCGGAAUUAUUGGCGUAAAGGGCUCGUAGGCGGUUUGUCGCGUCGGGAGUGAAAACUCAGGGCUUAACUCUAGCUGGCUUCCGAUACGGGCAGACUAGAGGUAUGCAGGGGAGAACGGAAUUCCUGGUGUGCGGUGAAAUGCGCAGAUAUCAGGAGGAACACCGGUGGCGAAGGCGGUUCUCUGGGCAUACCUGACGCUGAGGAGCGAAAGUGUGGGGAGCGAACAGGAUUAGAUACCCUGGUAGUCCCACCGUAAACGUUGGGCGCUAGGUGUGGGGCCUAUUCCAUGGGUUCCGUGCCGCAGCUACGCAUUAAGCGCCCCGCCUGGGGAGUACGGCCGCAAGGCUAAAACUCAAAGGAAUUGACGGGGCCCGCACAAGCGGCGGAGCAUGCGGAUUAAUUCGAUGCAACGCGAAGAACCUUACUGGGUUUGACAUAUGCCGGAAAGCUCUAGAGAUAGAGCCCCUUUUAGUCGGUAUACAGGGGUGCAUGGCUGUCGUCAGCUCGUGUCGUGAGAUGUUGGGUUAAGUCCCGCAACGAGCGAACCCUCGUCCUAUGUUGCCAGCACGUUAUGGUGGGGACUCAUAGGAGACUGCCGGGGUAACUCGGAGGAAGGUGGGGAUGACGUCAAGUCAUCAUGCCCCUUAUGUCCAGGGCUUCAGCAUGCUACAAUGGCCGGUACAAAGGGCUGCGAUCCCGUGAGGGGGAGCGAAUCCCAAAAGCCGGUCUCAGUUCGGAUUGGGGUCUGCAACUCGACCCCAUGAAGUCGGAGUCGCUAGAAUCGCAGAUCAGCAACGCUGCGGUGAAUACGUUCCCGGGCCUUGCACACACCGCCCGU